rnacentral:rRNA from 1 species
UAGGGAAUCUUCCACAAUGGACGCAAGUCUGAUGGAGCAACGCCGCGUGAGUGAAGAAGGCUUUCGGGUCGUAAAACUCUGUUAUUGAAGAAGAACGUGCGUGACAGUAACUGGUCAUGCAGUGACGGUAUUCAAUCAGAAAGUCACGGCUAACUACGUGCCAGCAGCCGCGGUAAUACGUAGGUGGCAAGCGUUGUCCGGAUUUAUUGGGCGUAAAGCGAGUGCAGGCGGUCUUUUAAGUCUGAUGUGAAAGCCUUCGGCUUAACCGAAGAAGGGCAUCGGAAACUGGGAGACUUGAGUGCAGAAGAGGAGAGUGGAACUCCAUGUGUAGCGGUGAAAUGCGUAGAUAUAUGGAAGAACACCAGUGGCGAAGGCGGCUCUCUGGUCUGUAACUGACGCUGAGGCUCGAAAAGCGUGGGGUAGCAAACAGGAUUAGAUA